AACGUAGGAGACAAACGUUUAUCCGGAGUUACUGGGCGAAAGGGCGUGUAGGCGGUCUGUUAAGUCUGGCGUGAAAGCUCUCGGCUAAACCGGGAGAGGUCGUUGGAUACUGGCAGACUAGAGGACGGUAGAGGCGUGUUGGAAUUCCGGGGUGUAGUGGUGAAAUGCGUAGAGAUCGGGAGGAACAUCUGUGGCGAAGCGACUGCCUGGACCAGC
rnacentral:rRNA from 1 species